UUUUUAUGGGCUUCAGCUGAUUUGACUGACAGGGGUAGCUUGGUACAUUGCCAAAAGGCUGGAUGCCUGCUUCAGUUUUACCUUAUUUCCAGUGGUUAGACUGAUUUAAAGUUUUGUUGAUUCAGAAUUCCUCGUGUGGGGAAUAUCAUUAUUUGGCUUUAAAACAACACUUCUUGACAACACUUCGAUGGAUGAAGCUACUGAGACUAUGUGUAUGAUUUAUUAAAUUCACCAUAAAUAUAUAAUUCUACAGACCUCUGAAUUAAUGGUCUGCUUUUGCUCAUCCAUCCAUCCAUCUAUUAUUAUCUUUUCACGCUCAUCCACACAGUCUAUGUUAUAUAAAGAGUUAGUGUUGCCGGAGUGACCUAUCCUAAUAUGGUGCAUAACUUCCUCUUAAAUCAAUGGCAUUGUUGAGAAUUUAUGAUGGUGUAGUCUACAGCUAAUAACACUGUUUGUGAGCGCACCCUGAUUAAUAUCCGAACCCCAUAUUUACACGCAUGACAACUGACCUCUUACAUAAUUCAUGCUACAUUUUUCAUGGAUAUUUGAGGCUCAUGAGACAAACUGAAGUUCUUUUUUGUUGGCGCGGGUUAACUCUACCCUCACACUUUGACCACACCCUCUAUUUUUGAGCUGUUGAUCCAUAUGCCUUACAAUCUUGUGCUCCACAAAUCUCUACCCACCCUAUAACUUCUGCAAAUUUCUAUCAAUAGCUCUUCCAUAGUUCAUUUUAUGGUUCAACAUCAAUUAAAAAUAUUAUAUUAUAAAUUGCCAUUGAUAUGUCGUUUAACCUUAUCCUGUAUGAGGUAAACUGAGGUAAGAGGUGUGGUACAACAUUUUCAAAUGAAGCCUGAUGCCAGACUGGGCAUGGUAGUGCCAUCGCACGGCAGGAUGCCCACUGAGUAAUGAUGUCAAAAAAUCUAGUCCCAAAAGACUUGAAUAUAAAAGAGUGUAAGAGGACACCAGACCUGCCUCUGGUUACUGGGCGUGUGAGUCAAACAGUUUUAUUUCAAACACUGUAACUCUAUAAAUUACUUAUGAUAAAACAUCAUGUUAUAUCAAAGCAGAAGACAAAGGGCUUGAUGGCCAACUGAGACACUCUGUUCUUGCAGGGGAUCAGAUCAUAUCUGACUGAACUGCAGGGGUUAAAAUUUUAAAAAUAGCACAGUAUCACUUUUACCAUAGAGAAAGAUACAUAUUCCAUGUUUUUAAUUGGUGUGAACUAGAAAGUUAAAUGUAAAUCUAGCAUGUGCAAAGGAGGAUUUCACAGUAGAAAGUAACUUCAAUAGAUAGAUAAACAAAAAAUGUGUGUGUUUAUGCAAAUGUGGGUGGAUCAAACUCACAGAUGGUAUCACACUGAGCUGUGUCAAAAAACUGCAAGCAAUAUGUGUCACAGCAUGUUUUGUGUGAAAAUAAAAGGAUAUAAAUGUGCAUCGUUAUUAGAUGCAUUGCCUCAGAUCAAAUCUGCAAACACAGAUCAGAUACAAGAAGUGUGCAGACAAAAAUAAAUCAAAGAAAGACGUAAAAGCCCUGCGGGAUAAAACUGCAUGUUUCAUGUUCAGAUUUCACCACAAACACUGGAUAGUAAUUUGCCAGCAGGGAUGUUUUUAGGAGUAUCAUUUCUGCAGAUAUAAAAACGCUGUCAGAGGCAAACUGUGUUGAAUGAUUAAGGAGCUGCAGCGAGGAGUCAGUGGGAUUUUUUUUCUUUCUUUUUUCCUGCUGUGCCUGUUUUCCCCUUCUCUCUCUGUUUCUGCCUCUCCCCAACAGUCUGCCACACGUGAGCAGACAGAGAUGGAAAUGAGAGAGGGAGCAGCCCAAGGACGCCCAGAUAACACACAGACGUAUGCUGAGUCUUCCUGUCUGUUUCUGUCUCCCACCCUCGUACUGAACAUAAGAGAUGCUUUCAACUACAAAAUGCAUAUCACUGGUAUGAAACAAUUUCAACAUUGCUCAAAAUAAAGCAUAAAUUACUGACCAAUACUUUUUCAUAUGAGGGCCACCUAGUGGUCAGACAUGGUGCAGAUUGCCUUUUUGAUGGAUUUUGGCAACAUGAUAUUGAAAAGGUAUGUACAUACCUCUGAGGAUUUAUAUAUUUCAAUAUGGCUGACUUUGCCAAAUAAGAAUAUCUCAGGAAGCUUUUUAUCAGCCUCCCAAGGAUCAUAUUAAACAUUCCUAUUGAUAAUAUCUUCACAUACAGGACAAUAUGAGAUAGAACAGUGGGAUCAUUACAGGAGCUGUACCAUCCCAGGCUAAAAACAUACUAUGAAAUUCCGCAUAUAACUCUAAACGUUUAAGUGUCACUGAGUAAGUGUUAUUUUCAACAGAAUAAGAGGAUUAAAGCACAAAAGAGCCUUUUCCUGUUGAAAUGAAACCUAAGAUCAUUUCUAGUAACACAGAGUUCAGGAAAGUAAAAGCAAAUGUAGAGCACAGCAAGCUCCCAUGGGGAUAAAAGCACCGACUACAUCUACUGCCAACUCCAGGGUACCUUUCUCUCCCCAGGCACUAUGUGUCCUUAGCUGCUCUCUCAUUAGCCGCUUACCCUCCACACCUGUUCCCUGGUCAAGUCCAUGGACACGUUUUCUCUGCCUGUAUCACUGCAUAUCUGCACCAACAAAAUCCUUCUUCCUGUCUUACAGCAGAUUUUUAUUACAGCGUGCGUGCCUGCCAGUAUCAGUGCAAAUUUCCCUUUGAACUUAGAUUUAGUAAGUUUAUUUUCAACCCUGCCUGCUGUUCACUGCCUGCUGCUUUCUGUCUCCUUCUCUGUUUGCCAGUUAUCCAAAACUGCGGCACACAAGGGAUGCUUUGUGAAGGCUUUGAAAUGCAUACAGACAGGCAGACAACUGUUUUUAAAUGAAUACACCAAUCCUUACCGUACAUAAAUGUAUAAGUGCAUGCAAGUUAAACAAAAUAAGAAAACUCUUCUGUUGUAUACAGUCCAAACACUGAUAAGUUUUUAUAUUUAUUUUCAAGAGCUGUCUUUUAAGAGUUCAACAAAACAAAAAUAAAACUUUUGUUCCUGAUACAUGGGCCAAAUACAUGGUCCAAUGUCUGCCCAACUGACCAUCAGUAAGAUUUAGGUACUUAAAAAGCAUAAGGGAUGGCUAAAAAUGAGGGGGGAAAUAUAUAUAUUUAACCCUAGGACACUAUUGCUAAAAUUAGUAACACCAUCACUAUCCCCAGGUGAUUUUUACUCGAAAUAAUAUACCCAAAUUUCUUUUCCACCCAUUACCGGGACAUGUGAGUCUUCCCUGGUGAAGACUCAGGGUCCUUGGCACAAUAACAGCUGCAGGAGACAGAUCCAAAAUUGGGCAGAUUUUGAGUGAGUAAAAAUGUAGGAAAAAGCAGGUUUUGGAUCAGGGAAACAAAUAUGCCUUUAAAGAUGUCAACGGCAAUGCUGAAACUACCCAGGGACCCAUGAUACUCAGACAAACACAGUAUAAUGAAAAUCACGUUAAGAUGUUUGGUCGGGUGAAAAUCACCCGGCGAUAGUGUUGUAGGGUUAAAAAGAUUCCAAACAACUUUGCCCCUGAGCAGAGCCGGCUCAAGGCAUUAGCAAACUAAGCACCUGCCUAGGGGCCUGCUAUAAAUAGGGGCCCCCAAGAGCAAUCAAAAAGAAAUAAUAUUAAUAUAUAUAUAUAUAUAUAUAUUUUACAUGUAUGAGUGGUACUUUCUGUAUGAUCAAAUAUAUAUUAUCGUGAAAAUAAGAUAAAGUAAAAACAUUUCAGUGCUGCUGCUGAUGUAGGCCUAUGAUUCUUAUUGUCUAUAUGUCAAAGCUCAGCCAGCGUUAUGUGCCUUCUGCUGUGCAAUGUGCACUGAGCAUCUAAAACACAGGUGGUUGUGGGGCAAAACAGUAUUGCAAAAAAGGACAAAUCCUUCAGGAGCAGAGAAAAGAAAGAGGAAGAAGAGAAAAAAACGCCAAGAUAAAGGUAUGUUUGCAUGUCAUGGACUGUCAAUCAAAGAGAUUUGUGAAGGUGUGUGAAUGAUCAACAAUCAAUAUUAUUGGCAGAAAUAGAGGGCCCCAAUACCAAAUUUUGCUUAGGGCCCUACUGAGGCUUGGGCCGGCUCUGCCCCCGAGUACACACGUCUUUCUAUUCCAGCUUUGUAAUAUGAGUCUUUCACCACUAGUGGUCAUCAAAGUAUUUUAAGUUGGUUUGACUCAGUGAUUGCGUUGCCUUCAUGGUAUGUAGGUAACUAUACGAAUCCAGUACGUUUCGUCCUCGUGAUAAUGAAUUUAUUCAUCGAUAGUUCAUAAGUAUUACUAUAAGUCCCACUGACUGAGUUUAAUGCUUCCAUAUAAUGUCCUUGUUGAUUUUGUUAAACUGUUCACCCGCCCUUUUACGAUUUUAAUAUUAUAGAUAUACAUUUCAUCAUUGUUCAUUAUGUUGUUGCAGUAAAAUUCAGUUUAUCAAGAAUAACUUUAAAAAACCAAUUGAAGAGUCAGAUGUUUUCAAACAUAACAGUCGUUUCUGAAUUGCAAUGUAUUACUGUAUUUGUUGAAAGGAUAAAGACGGAGCUG